rnacentral:rRNA from 1 species
UCCAGACUCCUACGGGAGGCAGCAGUGGGGAAUAUUGCACAAUGGGGGGAACCCUGAUGCAGCGACGCCGCGUGAGGGAAGAAGGUUUUUGGAUUGUAAACCUCUGUCCUUGGUAAAGAAGCAAGACGGUAGCCAAGGAGGAAGCCACGGCUAACUCCGUGCCAGCAGCCGCGGUAAUACGGGGGGUGCAAGCGUUACUCGGAAUCACUGGGCGUAAAGAGCGCGUAGGCGGGAUAGCAAGUCAGAUGUGAAAUCCUAUGGCUUAACCAUAGAACUGCAUUUGAAACUGUUAUUCUAGAGUAUGGGAGAGGUAGGUGGAAUUCUUGGUGUAGGGGUAAAAUCCGUAGAGAUCAAGAGGAAUACUCAUUGCGAAGGCGACCUGCUAGAACAUAACUGACGCUGAUGCGCGAAAGCGUGGGGAGCAAACAGGAUUAGAUACCCCUGUA